rnacentral:pre_miRNA from 1 species
UGAAGCUAUUUGCUUCUGAGUGGAAUGUUGUCUGGUUCAAGGUCUCAUGCACCUUGCGGUUUUGAGGAUGAUUUGUGCAAGGUUUUUCAUUCCUCUCAUCCGUGGGAUCUCGGACCAGGCUUCAUUCCCCUCAGAGAUAGCUUCA